rnacentral:rRNA from 1 species
AUGGCGUCGGAGGAGGAGCAGAGCUCGCUGCUCCUGGACCCGGCCUACGCGCGGAGCAAGUCGGUCAUCCACGACGAGCUGCGCAGCUUCCGCGUGUUCCUGCAGUGGUGCGCGCUCGACCACUCCUCCCCCGCCGCGCGCGCCGCCUCGUACACGGCCUUCCUCGCGCUGGCGCUCGCCGUGCCCGCCGCCGUCACGGCCUCCCUCCGCGCCGACGCCUCGCUGUCCCCGGCUUCCGCGUCCGCGGUCACGUUCAACCGCGUGGCCACGCUCACCGCGUCGGGGCUCGCCGCCGUCUCCUUCGUCACGCUGGCCGUCUUCUUCCGCCGCUGCGGCGGCCUCCGGCAGCUGCUGUUCCUGGACGGGAGGCUCCGCGACGACACCGCGUUCGUCCGCCGCCGCUACGAGCGGGAGCUGGACCGCGCGUUCCGCCUCCUGGCGGCGCUGCUGGUCCCGGCCCUCUGCGUGGAGGCCGCGCACAAGGCCGUCUUCUUCUUCUCCACCGUGCGCGUGGAGCCGCCGCUCCCGCUCCCGCACGUGCCGUGGCGCGGGGUGGCGCUGGUGGCCACGGUGGCGUCGUGGGUGUACCGCACGGGGGUGUUCCUGCUGGUGUGCGUGCUGUUCCGCCUCACCUGCGAGCUCCAGAUCCUGCGCUUCGAGGGGAUCUACCACAUGUUCGACGCGGAGGCGUGCGCCGCCGCCGACGAGAUCUUCGUGGAGCACCGCCGCAUCCGGACGCAGCUGCUGGCCACCAGCCACCGGUACAGGGUGUUCAUCAUCUGCUGCCUCGUCACCAUCACCGUCAGCCAGCUCGGCGCCCUGCUCGUCGCCCUCUCCUCCAAGGACGGCAAGAGCUUCGCCAACUCCGGCGACCUCCUUGUUGGUUCGUCGGUGCAGCUGAGUGGGUUCUUCAUGUGCCUGUUCGGCGCGGCCAGGAUCACGCACCGAGCCCAACGGAUCGUGUCCAUCGCCAGCCAGUGGCACAUGCGCAUGGUGUCCGCCGCUCUGCACCACGGCAAACCAGGCGUCAGCACCUCGGCGAGCGACAUCGACCCGGUCGCUCUGACGGCGCCAUUGCUCCCCGGAGCAGGAUGUGACUACAAAAGCAGACAAGCUCUUGUGACGUACCUGUGGCACAACAGUGGCGGGAUCACCUUGUUCGGCUUCACGCUCGACAGGGGCCUCCUCCACACCAUCUUCGCCUUCGAGAUGACCCUCGUGCUCUGGAUCCUCAGCAAAGCUGUAGUUCUCUCCUAG